UACGUAGGGCGCAAGCGUUGUCCGGAAUUAUUGGGCGUAAAGAGCUCGUAGGUGGCUUGUCGCGUCUGCCGUGAAAGCCCAUGGCUUAACCCCGGGCCUGCAGUGGGUACGGGCAGACUAGAGUGCGGUAGGGGAGACUGGAAUUCCUGGUGUAGCGGUGAAAUGCGUAGAGAUCGGAAAGAACACCAACGGCGAAAGCACUCUGCUGGGCCGACACUGACACUGAGAGACGAAAGCUAGGGGAGCGAGUGGG
rnacentral:rRNA from 1 species